AGGCAAAGAGAGCCACUGUAAAUUAACCUGCUGCUCCCAGCUUUGGAAAGCCACAGUGGGAAAGGCAGGUUGCAGUGGUGUCCUUGAGGUGCUCCUCCUUUCCUACAUGCCAAAAGCCUUUUAUGACAUGAAAGCUGUCUAUCAAAGGACAUCCCAUCAACUAAACUGGGUUCUGCCUCAUUCAUCACCAGGGCCUCUGCCCUCCUUCCUGCACACCUGAUACCUGGAGCAAAGGAGGGGACACCAAGCCCCACAGCUGAUGUUGUUCAGUGAGUCGAUGAGGGCAAGCCUGAGAAACAAGGAAUGAGAUUUUUUCCAGCACCUUACACCUACCUCUGCAGCACCAGCAAGAGCAUUACACACCCACGGGCAAAACUUUCUGGUGUCACAGAAAGUUCACCAUCUCAGAAGGGAGAAGAAGAGGGUGCUGAAGAUGUGAAAUACAACCGCUUUGAUCUUUCAAGGGUUUGGCAACAGAAUUUGUGCUUUGAUUCAUCUAGUUCCAUAAAUCUCAAGACAUAAGGAAAUAAAAAUCAAUGGGGGUAAUAAUCUCCUUAACCAAGGAGGAGAAGCCUCAAGUACCAAGGAGGUGAAAACUUAAUGAG